rnacentral:rRNA from 1 species
GACGAACGCUGGCGGCGUGCUUAACACAUGCAAGUCGAACGGAAAGGCCCUGCUUUUGUGGGGUGCUCGAGUGGCGAACGGGUGAGUAACACGUGAGUAACCUGCCCUUGACUUUGGGAUAACUUCAGGAAACUGGGGCUAAUACCGGAUAGGAGCUCCUGCUGCAUGGUGGGGGAUGGAAAGUUUCGGCGGUUGGGGAUGGACUCGCGGCUUAUCAGCUUGUUGGUGGGGUAGUGGCUUACCAAGGCUUUGACGGGUAGCCGGCCUGAGAGGGUGACCGGCCACAUUGGGACUGAGGUACGGCCCAGACGCCUACGGGAGGCAGCAGUGGGGAAUAUUGCACAAUGGGCGGAAGCCUGAUACAGCAACGCCGCGUGCGGGAUGACGGCCUUCGGGUUGUAAACCGCUUUCGCCUGUGACGAAGCGUGAGUGACGGUAAUGGGUAAAGAAGCACCGGCUAACUACGUG